UCAUUAUACGCAGACUGAACUAUAAACUUAACAAGACAGGCACGAAUGUUGCAUGUUACGUGCUGCCUGAAUGCCAUUUCGUGUACAAAAUCGACAUUGAUCUUCUUGCACUAUAAUACAAUUAUUGUAUAAGAUACUGCUCCUCAGCAUUAAUCUUGCUGUAUGAACAAACAGCAAUAUAAUCCGAUCAGCAGUUGGCACCUGUGUACUGCAUUGUGGAAUUUAUGAUGCUGCGAUAUAUAGGAAACCUUAACAUUUACACCAUCAUCGUGGAUUAAAUAAUCAUGGAUCUUACCUCCAUCUCAAACACCAUCUCAAACACCGUCGAAUCGACAACGCCAUCGUCCACCAGCUCGGAACUCAAACUCACCAUCAUCUUCUCCGUGGUCGCCCUGGUGAGCUUCAUUGCCCUCGUCCUACUCCUGUGCUACAUCACACGAACUACCAGACGACAGUUCGACGAGGCGGAAAAGAAACUCGAAAA